rnacentral:rRNA from 1 species
CCUACGGGGGGCAGCAGUGGGGAAUAUUGCACAAUGGGCGCAAGCCUGAUGCAGCCAUGCCGCGUGUGUGAAGAAGGCCUUCGGGUUGUAAAGCACUUUCAGCGGAGAGGAAGGCGGUGAGGUUAAUAACCUCAUCGAUUGACGUUACCCGCAGAAGAAGCACCGGCUAACUCCGUGCCAGCAGCCGCGGUAAUACGGAGGGUGCAAGCGUUAAUCGGAAUUACUGGGCGUAAAGCGCACGCAGGCGGUCUGUCAAGUCGGAUGUGAAAUCCCCGGGCUCAACCUGGGAACUGCAUUCGAAACUGGCAGGCUAGAGUCUUGUAGAGGGGGGUAGAAUUCCAGGUGUAGCGGUGAAAUGCGUAGAGAUCUGGAGGAAUACCGGUGGCGAAGGCGGCCCCCUGGACAAAGACUGACGCUCAGGUGCGAAAGCGUGGGGAGCAAACAGGAUUAGAUACCCCUGAGUC